rnacentral:ncRNA from 1 species
UUAACAGCAACGACGGAGAAGAGUAGAGGGUACAGACCCACAGCGAACCCGGUAUAGUGAGAGCGGGUGGGAAAAUUCCUUUGAAAAUCACUCCCGAGCUUCUGGAUGAAACCUUCAUAAGAAGGGAUUAAUCCGUGACGGAUGCCGACCGUUAUCGCGGCAGGGCAUAUUUGUGCCCGUAAAAGUGCCUCUGGAUAAGAUACCAGAGGAAAUAGGGUGGUACCGCGGGUUCAUCCCGUCCCUUAU